rnacentral:rRNA from 1 species
UCCACGCCCUAAACGAUGCACACUAGUUGUUGCUAUGCUAGACAUAGCAGUAAUGCAGUUAACACAUUAAGUGUGCCGCCUGGGGAGUACGGUCGCAAGAUUAAAACUCAAAGGAAUAGACGGGGACCCGCACAAGCGGUGGAGCAUGUGGUUUAAUUCGACAUACGCGAAGAACCUUACCUGGCCUUGACAUAGAUAGAAUAUAGCAGAGAUGUAAA